rnacentral:rRNA from 1 species
GAUGAACGCUAGCGGCAGGCUUAAUACAUGCAAGUCGAGGGACAGCACAGGUAGCAAUACUGGGUGGUAACCGGCAAACGGGUGCGGAACACGUAUACAACCUUCCUUUAAGUGGGGGAUAGCCCAGAGAAAUUUGGAUUAAUACCCCGUAAUAUAGUUGAAUGGCAUCAUUUGAUUAUUAUAGCUACGGCGCUUAAUGAUGGGUGUGCGGCUGAUUAGAUAGUUGGCGGGGUAACGGCCCACCAAGUCUACGAUCAGUAGCUGAUGUGAGAGCAUGAUCAGCCCAACGGGAACUGAGACACGGGCCCGACUCCUACGGGAGGCAGCAGUAAGGAAUAUUGGUCAAUGGACGCAAGUCUGAACCAGCCAUGCCGCGUGAAGGAUUAAGGUCCUCUGGAUUGUAAACUUCUUUUAUUUGGGACGAAAAAGGGCCUUUCUAGGUCAACUGACGGUACCAGAUGAAUAAGCACCGGCUAACUCCGUGCCAGCCGCCGCAGUAACAC